rnacentral:snoRNA from 1 species
GGCCGAUGAUGACAAAUGGAAAGGCUUGUUUCUCAAAACAUUCGCAGUGGCCGCCUGAGAGCUUUCGCCUUCGCCGGGCUUGAGAGCUUCUGCUGUUUCAAUCCUUCCUUGGAUGUCUGAGGCU